CAGUCGCCGCGGGAAUACGGAGGGAGCUAGCGUUAUUCGGAAUUACUGGGCGUAAAGCGCACGUAGGCGGCUUUGUAAGUUAGAGGUGAUAGCCUGGAGCUCAACUCCAGAAUUGCCUUUAAGACUGCAUCGCUUGAAUCCAGGAGAGGUGAGUGGAAUUCCGAGUGUAGAGGUGAAAUUCGUAGAUAUUCGGAAGAACACCAGUGGCGAAGGCGGCUCACUGGACUGGUAUUGACGCUGAGGUGCGAAAGCGUGGGGAGCAAACAGGAUUAGAUACCCGUGUAGUCCCUGUCUCUUAUAC
rnacentral:rRNA from 1 species